AUUGAACGCUGGCGGCAGGCUUAACACAUGCAAGUCGAGCGGUAACAGAGAGAAGCUUGCUUCUCUGCUGACGAGCGGCGGACGGGUGAGUAAUGCCUAGGAAUCUGCCUAGUAGUGGGGGAUAACUUGCCGAAAGGUAAGCUAAUACCGCAUACGUCCUACGGGAGAAAGGAGGGGACCUUCGGGCCUUCCGCUAUUAGAUGAGCCUAGGUCGGAUUAGUUAGUUGGUGAGGUAAUGGCUCACCAAGCCCGCGAUCCGUAACUGGUCUGAGAGAAUUAUCAGUCACACGGGCACUGAGACACGGUCCAAACUCCUACGGGAGGCAGCGGUGGGGAAGAUUGGACAAUGGGGGGAACCCUGAUCCAGCCAUGCCGCGUGUGUGAAGAAGGUCUUAGGAUUGUAAAGCACUUUAAGUUGGGAGGAAGAGCAGUUAACUAAUAUUUGACUGUUUUGACGUUACCGACAGAAUAAGCACCGGCUAACUUCGUGCCAGCAGCCGCGGUAA
rnacentral:rRNA from 1 species